CAGGUCAGAGCGUCCGAAGUGAAAUGCAAUAAACAAAUCUGAUAUAUAAAACAUGCAUCGCACACAGAGUAGUGACACCUUGCUGAAGCUUAAAGCUCUGCGGUUUGCUUUCAUGAGGAGUGAGGGAGAGCCAGCCAGAGUGCUCUGUUUCCUACAUGCUGAGUGUGCUCACACACACUGGAUGGGCUUUUGUACGUGAGUAGAGCAGCGAUUGGACGAGGGCUCUGCCAGUCAGUGAACAAAAUCCCAUCUGACUUCAUCACCUCCUUUCCUGAUGCAGCAUGGGAGGAGAGGAAGGAGAGUGGAUCUGUCUUCUCUCAACCACUGAGCCUCUCUCAGCCUGUCUCAGCUCCGCUCGCGCCCUUGACUUACUUUGGAUAGACAAGACCGUGAGGGAGCCUGGUUCUUUUAAUAUUUGUUGUGUUUUCCCCCCUCUGUUCCGGGGCUGUGCCAAAGUGGGCUGGAGCGUUUGUCCCUGACCGCCGGAGCUCUGAUGGGACGCAGCACUGCCUCUGGCUGGGACUGGGGAUGCUGAACGGAGGCAGGGAGGGCCUGUUUCAGCUGGGACAGCAGCUCCAGCAGCAGGGGGAGUACCAGGCCGCCCUCCACUGCUUCCUCAGCUCUCUGCUCGGGUUGAGGCACGUGCAGAGCUUCACCUCGCUGCCCAACUGCCUACACCAGAUUGCGGAACUCUUCAUCUCUGAAAAGAAUUACGGCAAAGCCUUGCAGUUCAUUCAGGCUGAGAAGAUGUUUUACGAGGUUGCCCUGAUUGAGCUCACAGCUGUUCAUGACAGCACAGGCCCCCAGGAGGACGCUAUGCUGGGCUCGGCGGAGACAGGAUGGGUGUCUGCUGAAGGGCUAUUGGAUCAGGCCACCCAAGCUCAGCAUUUCGAGCGGCUGGCCCAGCUUUGCAUCAUGAGUAAAAGACCUCAUCUUGCAUUAGAAUACAGUGGGAAAGCCACUAAGAUCCAUCAACGGGCCUUUGGCAACAACCACCCUAUCACAACCAGGAGCCUGGAGCUGCUGGCCAACGUCUACGCAGAGAUCGGCAAGACGGAAUACUCAGACUCCCUCGGCCAGUGCAUGUCAGCUCUGUCAAAGAGGUUUGCUGCUUCUGAGACCUUCAGAGACACACUCAACAACGGUCUUCCACAUUCCCACUCCCAUUCCCACCGGGACAAACGCUCUGAGAUCCGGCACAGGAAAGAGUCCCACCCACAGGAGGACACUCCAAACCCCAAGGUCACCAGUGGUAAAAUCCCCAUGUCCAUACUGAAGAGGUCAAACUCGGGAUCAGAUUCAGAGCCCGCCCACAGACGGAAAAGCGAGCGGCGUGUCCGGUUCAGAGAGCCUGAGACCACUGUGCAUGCCUAUGACACGUCACCACCCCACCCACACAUGGCCCUGUUCACCUGCCUGUUCCUGCUGAUGUCACUGCUGGGCGUUGCCAUGUACUGCACAGAGCGCCGACGCCCACAACGUGUGUGUGAGGAGCUGGAGGCCUUGCUGGCUGUCUACCUGGUACACAUAAAACAGCUGCUGUGGGGCUGCUGGGUCUGGCUAACCAGGCAGUGA
rnacentral:lncRNA from 1 species